rnacentral:miRNA from 1 species
UUUGUAUUACGUGCGGAAACUGUUACCAUUUUUGAGCCGAAAAUAGUAACAAUUUCCGCACGUAAUACAAA